rnacentral:rRNA from 1 species
CGCUGGCGGCGUGCCUAACACAUGCAAGUCGAACGAGGUCCAUGAGAGCUUGCUCUCAGAAGACCUAGUGGCGAACGGGUGAGUAACACGUGAGAAACCUGCCUCGGAGUGGGGAAUAACUCGGGGAAACUCGAGCUAAUACCGCAUAUCUUCACAUGAUCGCAUGGUCGAGUGAAGAAAGAAUUUCGCUCUGAGAGGGUCUCGCGGCCUAUCAGCUUGUUGGUGGGGUAACGGCCCACCAAGGCAACGACGGGUAGCUGGUUUGAGAGAACGAUCAGCCACACUGGGACUGAGACACGGCCCAGACUCCUACGGGAGGCAGCAGUGGGGAAUCUUGCGCAAUGGGCGAAAGCCUGACGCAGCAACGCCGCGUGCGGGAUGACGGCCUUCGUGGUUGUAAACCGCUUUCAGCAGGGACGAAAAUGACGGUACCUGCAGAAGAAGCCCCGGCUAACUACGUG